AGAUCAAUCACCAAUCGAUGACCUGGACUUA
rnacentral:piRNA from 1 species